rnacentral:rRNA from 1 species
CCCCAGCGCCACAAGAUGGGAACCACGCUUUAUUGAUGUCUAAAGCAUCCGUAGCCGGUUUGACAAAUGCCCUGUGAAAUCGUUGCGCUCAACGUAACGGCGUGCAGGGUAGACUAUCAAACUUGGCACCAGGGGAGGAAGACGGUAUUCUUGAGGGAGCGGUAAAAUGUGAUAAUCUCAAGAGGACCACCGAUGGCGAAGGCAGUCUUCCAAAAUGGAUCCGACGGUGAGGGAUGAAAGCUAGGGGAGCGAUCCGGAUUAGAUACCCGAGUAGUCCUAGCUGUAAACGCUGCAUGCCAGAUGUUGCACAAUCUUCGAGAUUGUGCAGUGUCGAAACGAAGGUGUUAAGCAUGCCACCUGGGAAGUACGGUCGCAAGGCUGAAACUUAAAGGAAUUGGCGGGGGAGCACCACAAGGGGUGCGGCGUGCGGUUUAAUCGAAUUCAACGCCGAGAAUCUCACCAGGGGCGCCGGCAGUAUGAUGCUCAGUCUAAAGGGCUUAGCGGACGAGCCGAGAGGUGUUGCAUGGCCGCCGUCAGCUCGUGUCGUGAGAUGUCCUGUUAAGUCAGGCAACGAGCGAGACCUACAUUCACCGUUGCUAACGCGUUCGCAAGAACGAGCGAGCACACUGUGAGGACUGCCUUCGAAAGGAGGAGGAAGGUGUAGGCUACGGCAGGUCUGUCCGGCCCGAAUCUCCUGGGCUACACGCGCGCAACAAUGGUUAUGACAAUGGGAUGCAACACCGAAAGGUGAAGCCAAGCCUCCAAACAUAACCCUAGUAUGAAUUGAGGGCUGCAACUCGCCCUCAUGACAACGGAAUCCCUAGUAAUCAGAGGUUAGCAUCCUCCGGUGAAUAUGUCCCUGCUCCU